UACCAGCACCCCGAGUGGUCGGGACGUUUAUUGGGCCUAAAGCAUCCGUAGCCGGUUCUACAAGUCUUCCGUUAAAUCCACCUGCUUAACAGAUGGGCUGCGGAGGAUACUAUGGAGCUAGGAGGCGGGAGAGGCAAGCGGUACUUAGUGGGUAGGGGUAAAAUCCGUUGAUCCAUUGAAGACCACCAGUGGCGAAGGCGGCUUGCCAGAACGCACUCGACGGUGAGGAAUGAAAGCUGGGGGAGCAAACCGG
rnacentral:rRNA from 1 species